GACGAACGCUGGCGGCGUGCUUAACACAUGCAAGUCGAACGGAAAGGCCCUUCGGGGUACUCGAGUGGCGAACGGGUGAGUAACACGUGAGUAACCUGCCCUUCACUGUGGGAUAAGCCUUGGAAACGAGGUCUAAUACCACAUAUUCACCACUAACCGCAUGGUCGGUGGUGGAAAGUUUUUCGGUGAAGGAUGGGCUCGCGGACUAUCAGCUAGUUGGUGGGGUGAUGGCCUACCAAGGCUUUGACGGUUAGCCGGCCUGAGAGGGUGUCCGGCCACACUGGGACUGAGACACGGCCCAGACUCCUACGGGAGGCAGCAGGGGGGAAUAUUGCACAAUGGGCGAAAGCCUGAUGCAGCGACGCCGCGUGAGGGAUGACGGCCUUCGGGUUGUAAACCUCUUUCGACAGUGACGAAGCCUGAUUAGGCCAGGUGACGGUAGCUGGAGAAGAAGCUCCGGCCAACUACGUGCCAGCCGCCGCCGCCGUAA
rnacentral:rRNA from 1 species